rnacentral:rRNA from 1 species
GUCGAACGGUGAAGCAGGAGCUUGCUCCUGUGGAUCAGUGGCGAACGGGUGAGUAACACGUGAGCAACCUGCCCCGGACUCUGGGAUAAGCGCUGGAAACGGCGUCUAAUACCGGAUACGAGCUGCGAAGGCAUCUUCAGCAGCUGGAAAGAACUUCGGUCUGGGAUGGGCUCGCGGCCUAUCAGCUAGUUGGUGAGGUAACGGCUCACCAAGGCGUCGACGGGUAGCCGGCCUGAGAGGGUGACCGGCCACACUGGGACUGAGACACGGCCCAGACUCCUACGGGAGGCAGCAGUGGGGAAUAUUGCACAAUGGGCGAAAGCCUGAUGCAGCAACGCCGCGUGAGGGAUGACGGCCUUCGGGUUGUAAACCUCUUUUAGCAGGGAAGAAGCGAAAGUGACGGUACCUGCAGAAAAAGCGCCGGCUAACUACGUGCCAGCAGCCGCGGUAAUACGUAGGGCGCAAGCGUUAUCCGGAAUUAUUGGGCGUAAAGAGCUCGUAGGCGGUCUGUCGCGUCUGCUGUGAAAACCCGAGGCUCAACCUCGGGCCUGCAGUGGGUACGGGCAGACUAGAGUGCGGUAGGGGAGAUUGGAAUUCCUGGUGUAGCGGUGGAAUGCGCAGAUAUCAGGAGGAACACCGAUGGCGAAGGCAGAUCUCUGGGCCGUAACUGACGCUGAGGAGCGAAAGGGUGGGGAGCAAACAGG